AGUGAACGCUGGCGGCGUGCCUAAUACAUGCAAGUCGAACGGAGAUUAAGUAGCUUGCUAUUUAAUCUUAGUGGCGCACGGGUGAGUAAUAUAUAGCUAACUUGCCCAUUACUAAGGGACAACAGUUGGAAACGACUGCUAAUACCUUAUACUCCGUAUCUAUAUAAGUAGAUACGGGAAAGUUUUUCGGUAAUGGAUAGGGCUAUAUCGUAUCAGCUAGUUGGUAAGGUAAUGGCUUACCAAGGCUAUGACGCGUAACUGGUCUGAGAGGAUGAUCAGUCACACUGGAACUGAGACACGGUCCAGACUCCUACGGGAGACAGCAGUAGGGAAUAUUGCCCAAUGGGGGAAACCCUGAAGCAGCAACGCCGCGUGGAGGAUGACACUUUUCGGAGCGUAAACUCCUUUUCUUGGGAAAGAAUUAUGACGGUACCCAAGGAAUAAGCACCGGCUAACUCCGUG
rnacentral:rRNA from 1 species